rnacentral:rRNA from 1 species
UGGGGAAUAUUGCACAAUGGGCGCAAGCCUGAUGCAGCCAUGCCGCGUGUAUGAAGAAGGCCUUCGGGUUGUAAAGUACUUUCAGCGGGGAGGAAGGGAGUAAAGUUAAUACCUUUGCUCAUUGACGUUACCCGCAGAAGAAGCACCGGCUAACUCCGUGCCAGCAGCCGCGGUAAUACGGAGGGUGCAAGCGUUAAUCGGAAUUACUGGGCGUAAAGCGCACGCAGGCGGUUUGUUAAGUCAGAUGUGAAAUCCCCGGGCUCAACCUGGGAACGGGAUCGGAUACUGGCAGGCUUGAGUCUCGUAGAGGGGGGUAGAAUUCCAGGUGUAGCGGUGAAAUGCGUAGAGAUCUGGAGGAAAACCGGGGGCGAAGGCGGCCCCCUGGACGAAGACUGACGCUCAGGUGCGAAAGCGUGGGGAGCAAACAGG